rnacentral:rRNA from 1 species
CGGGAAGAAAGCUUGCUUCUUUGCCGGCGACCGGCGCACGGGUGAGUAACACGUAUCCAACCUGCCCUUUACUCGGGGAUAGCCUUUCGAAAGAAAGAUUAAUACCCGAUGGCAUAAUGAUUCCGCAUGGUUUCAUUAUUAAAGGAUUCCGGUAAAGGAUGGGGAUGCGUUCCAUUAGGUUGUUGGUGGGGUAACGGCCCACCAAGCCUUCGAUGGAUAGGGGUUCUGAGAGGAAGGUCCCCCACAUUGGAACUGAGACACGGUCCAAACUCCUACGGGAGGCAGCAUG